rnacentral:rRNA from 1 species
GUCGAGAAUAAUUCACAAUGGACGAAAGUCUGAUGGUGCAACGCCGCGUGGAGGAUGACGGUCUUCGGAUUGUAAACUCCUGUCAUCCGGGAGUAAGACCUGGCUGUGAAUAGCAGACAGGGUUGAUAGUACCGGAAGAGGAAGGGACGGCUAACUUCGUGCCAGCAGCCGCGGUAAUACGAAGGUCCCGAGCGUUGUUCGGAAUCACUGGGCGUAAAGGGAGCGUAGGCGGCGUGGUAAGUCAGAUGUGAAAUCCCGGGGCUCAACCCCGGAACUGCAUCCGAUACUGCCGUGCUAGAGGAUUGGAGAGGUAGCUGGAAUUCUUGGUGUAGCAGUGAAAUGCGUGGAGAUCAAGAGGAACACUCGUGGCGAAAGCGAGCUACUGGACAAUAUCUGACGCUGAGGCUCGAAGGCCAGGGUAGCGAAAGGGAUUAGAAACCCCGGUAGUCC